rnacentral:rRNA from 1 species
GGGUACGCUGGCGGCGUGAUAACACAUGCAAGUCGAACGGAGAUAUGAUUUCGGUUGUAUCUUAGUGGCGAACGGGUGAGUAACGCGUGAGCAACCUGACUCUUAGAGGGGGAUAACACUCGGAAACGGGUGCUAAUACCGCAUAAGACCACGACAUGGCAUCAUGACGAGGUCAAAGGAGCAAUCCGCUGAGAGAGGGGCUCGCGUCCCAUUAGAUAGAUGGCGGGGUAACGGCCCACCAUGUCAACGAUGGGUAGCCGAGCUGAGAGGCUGAUCGGCCACACUGGAACUGAGACACGGUCCAGACUCCUACGGGAGGCAGCAGUGGGGAAUAUUGGGCAAUGGGCGCAAGCCUGACCCAGCAACGCCGCGUGAGGGAAGAAGGCUUUCGGGUUGUAAACCUCUGUCCUUGGUGACGAAAAAAAUGACGGUAGCCAAGGAGGAAGCCCCGGCUAACUACGUGCCAGCAGCCGCGGUAAUACGUAGGGGGCGAGCGUUGUCCGGAAUUACUGGGCGUAAAGGGUGCGUAGAUGGCCUUUUAAGUUGGAUGUGAAAUACCCGGGCUUAACCUGGGGGGUGCAUCUAAUACUGGGAGGCUAGAGUGCAGGAGAGGAAAGCGGAAUUCCUAGUGUAGCGGUGAAAUGCGUAGAUAUUAGGAGGAACACCAGUGGCGAAGGCGGCUUUCUGGACUGUAACUGACACUGAGGCACGAAAGCGUGGGGAGCAAACAGGAUUAGAUACCCUGGUAGUCCACGCGGUAAACGAUGAAUACUAGGUGUAGGGGGUAUCAACUCCCCCUGUGCCGGAGCUAACGCAAUAAGUAUUCCGCCUGGGGAGUGCGGCCGCAAGGUUGAAACUCAAAUGAAUUGACGG